UACAGAGGUCUCAAGCGUUUGUUCGGAUUCAUUGGGCGUAAAGGGUGCGUAGGUGGCGUCGUAAGUCAGGUGUGAAAUUUCGGAGCUUAACUUCGAAACUGCAUUUGAUACUGCGGUGCUUGAGGACUGGAGAGGAGACUGGAAUUUACGGUGUAGCAGUGAAAUGCGUAGAGAUCGUAAGGAAGACCAGUGGCGAAGGCGGGUCUCUGGACAGUUCCUGACACUGAGGCACGAAGGCCAGGGGAGCAAACGGG
rnacentral:rRNA from 1 species